rnacentral:lncRNA from 1 species
AUGAGUGCAAUGCAUGAUACGGGACACUCCGUGCCUGGCAGCAGCUCCUGGCCCAACUGGAAGGGAGCAUCAUAUGGCAUAAAGGCCUUGCAAACCCCACAGCUGGCAGCGCUCCUCCCACCAUGUCCUCGACCAGCCAGAAUAAGGAGGAGAACAGACCCUCAGGGCACUCCUGGAUCCGCAGUGGCCCGACCGAAAGUUCAGACUGUGUUAUACAAGCGAGCAGGUUCUUUCCAGCAGUGGAGCUUGUUUAGCCAUCUUCCAAACCUCAGUGAUCAGGGCAGUGGUUAAGAACAAGCUUCAAACAAGAAGUGCGAGUAAAAUUUUGAUGGGAUGAAGAUCACACUGAUGGAGAAGUUGCUUGAUUGAAGGAAGUUCCAUUCGUUAUGAUCAUGGUUGGUUGCUGCUCACAAUAUAGCAUCUAUUUGAAAGACCGCUCUUUGUGAGUAAAG